rnacentral:rRNA from 1 species
AUUGAACGCUGGCGGCAGGCCUAACACAUGCAAGUCGAACGAGUGGCGGACGGGUGAGUAAUGUCUGGGAAACUACCCGAUGGAGGGGGAUAACUACUGGAAACGGUAGCUAAUACCGCAUACCAUCGGAUGUGCCCAGAUGGGAUUAGCUAGUAGGUGGGGUAAAGGCUCACCUAGGCGACGAUCCCUAGCUGGUCCGAGAGGAUGACCAUCCACACUGGAACUGAGACACGGUCCAGACUCCGACGGGAGGCAGCAGUGGUGAAUAUUGCACAAUGGGCGCAAGCCUGAUGCAGCCAUGCCGCGUGUGGGAAGAAGGCCUUCGGGUUGUAAAGCACUUUCAGCGGGGAGGCGUUACCCGCAGAAGGAGCACCGGCUAACUCCGUGCCAGCAGCCGCGGUAAUAC